rnacentral:lncRNA from 1 species
GGUUCUCACAGGCUCGAACAAUGCUGGUUUCAUGAAAUGCAACCGAAGGCUGAACCAAGGCAGUGCAACUUAGAAGCACACACACAAACACCACAGCUGACCAGGAACUUAGUGCAAAGUCUCCAACGCAGUCGGCGGUCCCGGCCCCUCCCUCCCCCGGGGCCGCCGGGGAUCCAGAGGGACUCGGGAGAGCGGAACGUCGGGCUUCCCGGGUCUGACAACUGAUUGGAAUCGGCUUCCCAGGUCCGGCGCCCUCCUGAGCUGCGCCCCCGGCGCGCCCCGGCGGCCAGGGCGCCCUGCCUCGCCCCCGGCUGCCCGGCACCUCCUCCGGGCAGCAGCCCUCCCUCACGUGGUAGGCUCCUCGCUAAACACCACUGCAAUCACUACAAUAAAAAGAAAAAAAGGAGUAGGAGAAACACAAAGCAUACUUAAAUAGGCGCUUUUUCUCUCUGCAAAAAUAAAGUCCAAGAUUUUAGAUUUCUUUUUUUUUUAUUUUACAAUUUAUAAAACAUCAGCCGCCUGCCCCCGCUCGCCCCCAGCUCAGCCCCGAGUGGCGGCCGGGGCGCGAGGGUCCCGCGGGCAGAGCGCAGCGGGCGCGGGCGGCGGCAGCGGCAGCGGCAGCGGCGCAGGACCCGGCUGCAGAGGCUCCAAGGGCUGCCCGCGGUGGGGCGCGCCGUGCGGCGGCUGGAGCGCGGC